rnacentral:rRNA from 1 species
GACGAACGCUGGCGGCGUGCUUAACACAUGCAAGUCGAACGGAAAGGCCCUGCUUUUGUGGGGUGCUCGAGUGGCGAACGGGUGAGUAACACGUGAGUAACCUGCCCUUGACUUUGGGAUAACUUCAGGAAACUGGGGCUAAUACCGGAUAGGAGCUCCUGCUGCAUGGUGGGGGUUGGAAAGUUUCGGCGGUUGGGGAUGGACUCGCGGCUUAUCAGCUUGUUGGUGGGGUAGUGGCUUACCAAGGCUUUGACGGGUAGCCGGCCUGAGAGGGUGACCGGCCACAUUGGGACUGAGGUACGGACCAGACUCCAACGGGAGGCAGCAGUGGGGAAUAUUGCACAGUGGGCGGGAGCCUGAUGCAGCAACGCCGCGUGCGGGAUGACGGCCUUCGGGUUGUAAACCGCUUUCGCCUGUGACGAAGCGUGAGUGACGGUAAUGGGUAAAGAAGCACCGGCUAACUACGUG